rnacentral:rRNA from 1 species
GACGAACGCUGGCGGCGUGCUUAACACAUGCAAGUGGAGCGACGAACCAGGCUUCGGCCUGGGGCAGAGCCGCGAACGGGUGAGUAACACGUGGGUAACGUGCCCCGAUGACUGGGACAACCCGAGGAAACUCGGGCUAAUACCGGAUAUGCCCCCUCACGCGAGUGAGGUGUGUAAAGGAAGCUUCGGCCUCCGCAUCGGGAUCGGCCCGCGGCCCAUUAGCUUGUUGGUGAGGUAACGGCUCACCAAGGCUGCGAUGGGUAGCUGGUCUGAGAGGACGAUCAGCCACACUGGGACUGAGACACGGCCCAGACUCCUACGGGAGGCAGCAGUGGGGAAUCUUGCGCAAUGCGCGAAAGCGUGACGCAGCAACGCCGCGUGGGGGAAGAAGGCCUUCGGGUUGUAAACCCCUUUCAGUUGGGACGAAGCGCGGGUGGUGAAUAGCCAUUCCGCGUGACGGUACCUUCACAAGAAGCCCCGGCUAACUACGUGCCAGCAGCCGCCGUAACAC